rnacentral:misc_RNA from 1 species
GUAGAAAAAAAAAUAAAAAAGGAUGACUUGAGAAAUAUUUACCAAAAAGGGAUGAUAUUGGGCGUACGAUACUCAAGAGCAAAGAAAGAAAGAAACAAAGGGAACAAGCAAUUAGUGAGAUUGUCAAGAAUUAAAAUGUAAAGGAACUGUUAUGGAGGAGCCAGGAUUUAAGUUGUAAUGUUUUAACAAACAAUUUGGUUUGAUGAAGCAAAAUUUGCAAAGGUGGAGCUGGAGUAGUAGCCUCGCAUUAAAAUUUAGAAAGUUGAAAAAUUCACUUCUAGAUAAGUAGUAAGAACUUGAUAUGGAUAAUUUUGAUGAUGGUUUCUUUAUUAAAUUGAGUGGUAAAAGUUAAAAAUGAUAGUAUGGGUGAAU